UGCUCUCUCCCUCUCCGCCGCCGCCUCCCCUCCCUUUCUCCCCUUCCGCCUGCCUCCGUCGCCCCUCCCCGCCGGCGCUCCUCCUGCUUUGCACCUCCGCUGCCGCCCGCUACCACGGUAUCCAGAUCCGGUGCGAGCGCGGCUCGGAGGGAGAGGAGGCGAUCUUGGCGAGAUCCGCGACGGCCUGGCAGUUCGAUCGGGAGCCGCGCGGCCCCUCGCCGCGGCCACCGCCACGCUCCGCAUCCGCCUCUUCUAUAGCCCCGACGACCCUGCGCCCCUCCGUGCGGUGCUCGCGCUCAAGCGCCACCCGCGCAUCGAAGUCGGCGUCAACCACGUUGAGGAGGGCAAGGAGCCGCUUGUGUCUUGGAGAUAGAGUAAUCUCUGAUCCAUGUUUUCUUCUUGUACAACCACCAUAAGCAUGAUCUGCCUCCAAUCCUCCCUUGAGGUGGGCUAUGGCCCUGUGCUUGCCCUCUCCACGGCCUAGCACAUCCGCUCCAGUCCCCAUGGUUCUGACUGUAGCGGCGCUCCCCGGAUCCUGCUCCCGCCGAUCCUAACGCCUCUCCGGCAACGUUGGCCUCCGCGGGCUCACGUGCAAGCAGCCUCGGUAGGCACCGGUGCCCAAGGAAAGGAUGAAUACAGUGCCCACCAUGGCUAUGGCCUACAGUGGCCUUCACCUGGCAUGGUGUCCUCAAGUUGCAGCUUAUUGCCGGCCAAGCGGAGCUACUGGCCAAUGGCGGGGAAGAGAUCGUGUAAUCCCUGUACAGGCUGCCACAGUUGACGCCCCUUGGCCAACUAUCGCGUGUGGAGUCCAAUAAUGCCAAGGUGUUGCGCCUUGCUGGGUAUUAUUGUCUCCUGGAGCCACUCUGUCAAGAUGGACCAGAUAGCAUCAGAGAUUCUCUUGGCCUUCUUUGUUCUUAAGCAUGCUAAAAGUUUUGUUAAAUCAAGUGUGACAACUGGAGGGGUGUUGCAAUUUUAUUUUAACCAAAUGAAUUAAUAGGCAAUCUGUUUUGGAAUCAUGUUCUCUUCUGGUUGAUAAAUUAAAUUGGACUUUUUGGUGCAGAAAUAAAAAAAGUCAUAGUUACCGAUUACCAUCUUUCUUUAUAAAUGCCUUGCUCUUUCAGGUGUCUUUGCUGCUUCUUUUUAUUGCCUGAACUAUUUCAGACAUUAGGAGCACAUGAGAUUUGUUCAGACAUCUGUCCUUACCUCCUCAGGUAAUUACAAAACAACUUGAGAAUGAUGCACACUCAUGCUGUCCUAAUGGAACAUUUAAAUUAUAGAAUGUUCACUUGCGUCUCAUGGAUAUAUUGUGAGGAUUUCCUGUUUCUAAAAAUUGAAUAUUUGUAUAUGUUCGUCCGGUUGAAAGCCAUCAGAUGAGCAAUUGUAUAUGUUCAACUGGUGACUUUUACUUUUUGCCAUUCACAUUGGUGCACAGGAAAAAACAGUACACAAGAAAGAGGUUGGCCUCACUAAAAUGAUAAUUUUAAUGUUAUUUUGUCCGAAAAAAAUAUACUGGAAACAACUACUCUAUCAAAUGAGUUUUGUUAAGGUAUAAGGGGCUCCAAGUUUUAUGUGGUCUAGAACUGAACAGUUUUUUGUGCCUCUACAUGUUGAUGACAAAUUUACUCGGAUCAAUUUACUUGUAUGCAGCAGAUGAAGGCGACCAUUUGGUUCCGGUAGCUCAUUCAUAUGCCUACAGUGUGGAAGAAACUCAUAUUGGUGUGUUUCUAUUUGUACAUAUGCCAUUGAAUACUGGAUAUCAGCAUUAAAUACUCAGAAAUUUCUGCUUCAAAGUAUCAUGUCAUACAUGUUGAUCGUAUUGAUAAGCUACAACAUAUUUAUGUGUAGUAUUUAGGUUUGUUAGAGAUCUUAUCUGAAUGAAUAUAAGUUGGCUUCAAGUUUAAGAUGUCCAGCACAAUUCUAUCGGCAAUCA